UAGGGAAUCUUUGGCAAUGGGGGGAACCCUGACCGAGCAACGCCGCGUGAGUGAAGAAGGUUUUCGGAUCGUAAAGCUCUGUUGUUAAGGAAGAACGAGUGUGAGAAUGGAAAGUUCAUACUGUGACGGUACUUAACCAGAAAGGGACGGCUAACUACGUGCUAGCAGCCGCGGUAAUACGUAGGUGGCAAGCGUUGUCCGGAUUUAUUGGGCGUAAAGCGAGCGCAGGCGGUCAAUUAAGUCUGAUGUGAAAGCCCCCGGCUCAACCGGGGAGGGUCAUUGGAAACUGGUUGACUUGAGUGCAGAAGAGGAGAGUGGAAUUCCAUGUGUAGCGGUGAAAUGCGUAGAUAUAUGGAGGAACACCAGUGGCGAAAGCGGCUCUCUGGUCUGUAACUGACGCUGAGGCUCGAAAGCGUGGGGAGCGAACAGG
rnacentral:rRNA from 1 species